rnacentral:rRNA from 1 species
UACGGAGGGUGCGAGCGUUGUCCGGAAUCAUUGGGCGUAAAGGGCGCGUAGGUGGCCCGGUCAGUUCGUGGUGAAAGCGCGGGGCUCAACCCUGCGUCGGCCAUGAAUACUGCCGCGGCUGGAGCACUGUAGAGGCAGGCGGAAUUCCGGGUGUAGCGGUGGAAUGCGUAGAGAUCCGGAAGAACACCAAUGGCGAAGGCAGCUCGCUGGGACGGUACUGACGCUGAGACGCGAAAGCGUGGGGAGCAAACAGG